AUGGCCCAAGUGCUUGGGCCCUGCAUCCCAUGGGAGACCAGGAUAAGUACCUGGCUCCUGCCAUCGGAUCAGCACGGUGCGCCGGCCACAGCGCGCAGGCCGCGGCGGCCAUUGGAGGGUGAACCAAUGGCAAAGGAAGACCUUUCUUUCUGUCUCUCUCUCUCUCUCACUGUCCACUCUGCCUGUCAAAAAAAAAAAAAAAUAAGUAGUGGUAGUAAUAGUAAUAAUGAUAGUAAUAGCAGCAGCAGCAGCAAUAGCAGUAACAUUAGCAGUAACUGUAGCAGGGGUAGCAAGCUGUUGGCCACCCACAGCAUUCAGAGUUGGGUAGAGUUAGAAGUCAUAAGAAGGUAUUGGUUCCAGUUUACCCUCUUAGGCUCCUCCUCCACAACAUUUUUGAUAGACCCUUACCAGAAUACCUCCGAGGGCAGAAAGCUCACUCCUUCACAAGUUUCUCUGCUGGCAGCUGGGGUUCUUGAAACUUCUUCCUUAACUGAAGCCCACCUCUUCAGAAAAGCACUCACUGCUCCCAGCCCUACUGAGGCUGGACAAGCCCCUCCCUUUUCUGGAGGGAAAGCCGGAGGUGUCAUGAGGACUUGGAAGCCGAUUUCUGCUAAAGCAAAGACAUCAGCUGCACCCGGGGCACGUUCUGCCACCCCCCACUGCCCCCGUGGAUACACUGGGUGCUAUCAGACUCCCAUGUGCCCAUGGACAGUACCAGUCUGGUGCCUGCCACACACCAAUGGGCUCUUAAAGGCAGUGCCCAGGAUGAGUGUCUUGAAGGAGAGGGGCAGAAAAGAUCGGAAGAGCACGCUCAGAUCCCACCCUGGGCACGGCAGGAUCUCAGGCAGACCUUGCAACCACCUCUGGGUACUACCAGGACAUGCCCCCUUCUUCCUGGGCCCCUUCCUGGAUUCACGCCCAGAGGACUCCCUGUGACCGAGCAGAUGGGAAAUGUUCUUAUGUUCUGGGACGUAACAUAGAGAAGACUUUCUGAGUCAGGGAUAGCGGGUGUCAGGACGCAGGGCCAGGGGCUGGUUAGGGAGCAAGGGGAGGGUCCCGAUGUGCAGAGGUGGCAGUCACGGGGCGUGAUCCCUGGGCUGUGGGCAGCUUUCUGUGCUCUGCCUGAGGCCUGGAAAAGACAACACAGAGUGGGCCUGCGGGGCUGACCUCACUCACUCCCCGGGGCGGCCCCAGUCUCGGAUAAGUGACUCCCCUCUGAAACUACUUCCAGCCCUCUUGGGUGGUGGGGGUGAGGAGGAGUGGUCCCUGGGAGUGAGGAAAGAGGAGUCAUGGUCAGAAUCCCCAGGCCUCGGGAAGGCCGUUGUGUACACAGGGAUCUUCCCACCAGGCGCAGGUGGGUUGGUGGGGCCGUCACAGUGACCCCUGCUGUCCGCUGAGUGCAGCUUGUGCUCCAGGCUCACCCAGCUCUCCUGGCCCUCACUGUGGGUCCCCAGAGGCAGGUGCACCUCCAGUCUCUGAAUCCUCAGAACCAGGGUGGGACCUUCUGCCCGCCCAGGCUGGCCCAGAGCCAGCCCAGAGCCAUCAAUAACAGGUGGGUGGGGGAGGGAGACGGGAUGUUGUUUUGCACCCCCAACCCCGUCGCUCAAGAACAGAGACAGAAUAAUUUAGCUCGUUCAAUGAACAAUUCCAAUAUGCCAGCUGUAGCCAGACUGCCCAAGAUUGAAGCCUAGAAAAACCCUUGAGGUUAUCACCAUGGAGAAGACACGGAGGCCCUCAAGGGAGUCAGGACCUGAACCACUAAGCUGUCCACUCCAGGGGUGGAGGGGCUGGCAUCUGGAGGGUAACAAAGCCCUCCUCUUCUGCUCAGGUCACAUGCCACCUGUGACCACACUCCCCACCCUGGGCGAGUCACUCAGCACCAGCAGAAAAUGCAUCUCUUGUCUCUGAUUGCCAAUUUCUCUUUUCAAAAGGCUCU
ensembl:lncRNA